UCCGGCCCGAGCUGCUGCCGCCGCUGCUGCUGCCUCGAGCUGCCCGGGGCUCGCGAGGCACCGGGAAGCGCGAGGAAAUGAUCGCGUGGCUCUAAUUAAACGGACUAGUUAAUGAGAAAACCCGGCACGAGGAGACAACAACCCGCCCCCUCCCUCCUCCUCCUCCUCCUCCUCCUCCUCUUGCUGCUGCUCUUCCUCCCCUGCUAUGGCUCCUCGCUCCGUCUGCUCUCGUGCUGCGGACCGAUGUGGGGACGGGAGGAGAAGAAGAGGAAGAGGAGAACCCGGGAAAACCCUUUUCCCGUGAAGACUUCAUGAUUUUCAUUUUUUAACAUACAUAUAUUAAUCUGUCAGCGCGAGGAUGUAGAUGAUGAUGAUGAUGAUGAUGGCGGCGGCGGUGAUGAAGAUGACAACGGUGUUUUGACGACUGGGUGACAACGGGAAACGCACCUCCCCCCCCCCCCUCCUCCUCCUCAUCCUCACCACUUCGCGCCGACACCCCUCCAUCCAAUUAGCAUCCAUCCAUCCGGCUGGGCUGUCUCGUGCCAUUCCGGGAAGCUUGACUUGCCUGCACGCGGGACACCGAGCUGAACUGCAGGUGUGUGGGGCUCGUGACGGAUUAUCAACAAACGAUAGCACGAAGAUUCCCGAAGAGGUCAAAAAACCUGUGGCGUCAGAAGGAAGGGGAGGGAGAGAGAGAGAGAGAGGAGACACAGGAGCACAGCUGUCGAUGUGUUGGAGGAUUAAAGAAGAAAAAGAAAACGCAGAAGAAGAAAGAGAAGAAGAAGUGAUAACUGUGGAAAUGGAUGCGACGACGCGGGAAAGGAGAGGAGGAUUCACGCGCUGCAGAGGACCACACACAAGACCCCUUCUGCCAGGAGAGAGAGACAGACAGAGGAGGAGGAGAAGAAGACGUCUUGGAAGACACUUGGAAACCCCCCCCACCCCCCCCCCCCCCCCCCCUCACACACACACACACACACACACACACAUAAACACUCAUACACACACCUCCCCUUCCCACCCAUCAGCAAGCUAUUUUUUACACCCCACAAGUAUCCUACUAUAAGAAAAAACUUUUUUCUUCGUCAUUGGAAAGAAGAAAAUCCUUCUAAAGAAACUCAAACAGUCAGAGAGCCGGCUGCGCGCGGAGGACGAUGGCCCGCAGGUCGCUUCACGUGCUGCUUAAGUUCUUAGGAGCUUUGUGGAGGCCGCUUUCAGCCAUCAGAACUCCGGGACAUAGGAGGAACUCUCCCGGUGAGUGCACAUCUGUAUGAGGUUUGAAAUCUGUGAAGUCAAUCAUCAAAACGUCAAAGGAGACAGAAUGCGGCUGUUUUCGUUAAUUCAGUUUCUGAUCAUUAAUCUGAGGUCAGACCGAGUUUUUCU